CGAAGGACCCGAGCGUUAUCCGGAUUUAUUGGGUUUAAAGGGUGCGUAGGCGGAUUAGUAAGUCAGUGGUGAAAGCCCAUCGCUUAACGGUGGAAUUGCCAUUGAUACUGCUAGUCUUGAGUAUGGUUGAGGUGGGCGGAAUGUGUCAUGUAGCGGUGAAAUGCUUAGAUAUGACACAGAACACCAAUUGCGAAGGCAGCUCGCUAAGCCAUAACUGACGCUGAUACACGAAAGCGUGGGGAGCAAACAGGAUUAGAUACCCUGGUAGUCCACGCCCUAAACUAUGAUCACUCGUUGUUGGCGAUACACAGUCAGCGACUAAGGGAAACCAUUAAGUGAUCCACCUGGGGAGUACGACCGCAAGGUUG
rnacentral:rRNA from 1 species